rnacentral:lncRNA from 1 species
GGGCAGAAAAACAUAGAUUAAAUUUUGAGGUAUAUAGUAAAGGUACAAACAUUAUGACAUAUAAAUACAAAUUAAAACGAUACUUUUAGUGGUAAUACAAUUAUUUUUAAACUUAAUUAUUCAAGUAUCUCGUACUGACAAAAACGAUUAACACACUUCAUAACUGGAGGUAAAAAUGCCUCUGGACAAUCAUCAUCUUUUUCACAAGGAAGGCGAGCUGUAUUGUUAAAAAAGAGAAAAAAAAUAUUGUUAUUAAAAGGUGAUGUGUGUUUAAGUUGGAAAGGAAAAUUUGAGAAUGCUAAAAAAAAUGACAUACUUCUGAAGGUUGCAAGAAGAAACGGAGAAACAAAGAUAAUCAAAGCAUAAACAAACAUGUAAACUUUAGCCAUAAUUUUGUUACUCUGAAUGUAAUAAAUGUAUUUUUUUUUAUUUCUUUAUAUGUGAAAAUUUCAUUCUUUG